UGGGGAAUCUUGGACAAUGGGCGAAAGCCUGAUCCAGCCAUGCCGCGUGAGUGACGAAGGCCUUAGGGUUGUAAAACUCUUUCGUCGGGGACGAUAAUGACGGUACCCGAAGAAGAAGCUCCGGCUAACUUCGUGCCAGCAGCCGCGGUAAUACGAAGGGAGCUAGCGUUGUUCGGAAUCACUGGGCGUAAAGCGCACGUAGGCGGAUAGUUAAGUCAGGGGUGAAAUCCUGGGGCUCAACCCCAGAACUGCCUUUGAUACUGGCUGUCUCGAGGUCGAGAGAGGUUGGUGGAAUUCCUAGUGUAGAGGUGAAAUUCGUAGAUAUUAGGAAGAACACCAGUGGCGAAGGCGGCCAACUGGCUCGAUACUGACGCUGAGGUGCGAAAGCGUGGGGAGCAAACAGGAUUAGAUACCCAAGUAGUCCCUGAGCGGGC
rnacentral:rRNA from 1 species